AGUGAACGCUGGCGGUAGGCCUAACACAUGCAAGUCGAACGGCAGCACAGAGGAGCUUGCUCCUUGGGUGGCGAGUGGCGGACGGGUGGGGAAUACAUCGGAAUCUACUCUGUCGUGGUGGAUAUCGUAGGGAAACUUACGCUAAUACCGCAUACGACCUACGGGUGAAAGAAGGGGACCUUCGGGCCUUGCGCGAUUGAAUGAGCCGAUGUCGGAUUAGCUAGUUCGCGGGGUAAAGGCACACCAAGGCGACGAUCCGUAGCUGGUCCGAGAGGAUGAUCAGCCACACUGGAACUGAGACACGGUCCAGACUCCUACGGGAGGCAGCAGUGGGGAAUAUUGGACAAUGGGCGCAAGCCUGAUCCAGCCAUACCGCGUGGGUGAAGAAGGCCUUCGGGUUGUAAAGCCCUUUUGUUGGGAAAGAAAUCCAGCUGGCUAAUACCCGGUUGGGAUGACGGUACCCAAAGAAUAAGCACCGGCUAACUUCGUGCCAGCAGCCGCGGUAA
rnacentral:rRNA from 1 species